UACGUAGGGGGCUAGCGUUGUCCGGAAUCAUUGGGCGUAAAGCGCGUGUAGGCGGCCCGGUAAGUCCGCUGUGAAAGUCGGGGGCUCAACCCUCGGAUGCCGGUGGAUACUGUCGGGCUCGAGUACGGAAGAGGCGAGUGGAAUUCCUGGUGUAGCGGUGAAAUGCGUAGAUACCAGGAGGAACACCGGUGGCGAAAGCGGCUUUCUGGUCGAGUACUGACGCUGAGGCACGAAAGCGUGGGGAGCAAACGGG
rnacentral:rRNA from 1 species